rnacentral:rRNA from 1 species
GUCUCGUGGGCUCGGAGAUGUGUAUAAGAGACAGCCUUUAAAGAGUGCGUAAUAGCUCACUGAUCAAGCGUUUUCGCGCCGAAAAUGACCGGAACUAAGUUUUUUGCCGAAGCUGUGGCUACAUCACAUAGAUGAUGUAGGGUAGAGGAGCGUUCCGUCCAGGGGGAAGCCAAGCGCGUAAGCCGCGGUCGACAGGACGGAAGUGAGAAUGUCAGAUUGAGUAACGUAAACAUUGGUGAGAAUCCAAUGCCCCGAAAACUCAAGGGUUCCUGCGCAAGGCUCGUCCGCGCAGGGUCAGUCAGGACCUAAGGUGAGGCCGAAAGGCGUAAUUGAUGGCAAGAAGGUUUAUAUUCCUUCACUAAUCUAGGCUUAGUCCUGAGGGACGAACAAAUAACACUCGGCACAACGGCCACACUUGGCAGUAUGGAUAAACCCGUUGCUGUUUGAUGCUAUUUAUUCCAAGAAAAGCUCAUUCGACUUUGAGUCUAGAUUACCUGUACCGUAAACCGACACAGGUGAGUGGGUUGAAUAAACUAAGGGGAGCGAGAUAACUCUCUCUAAGGAACUCGGCAAAUUGGCUCUGUACCUUCGGAAGAAAGAGUGCCCCUUCAUGGGGCCGCAGUGAAGAGAUCCAGGCGACUGUUUACCAAAAACACAGGUCUCCGCAAAGUCGUAAGACGACGUAUGGGGGCUGACACCUGCCCAGUGCCGGAAGGUUAAAGAAGUCGGUUAGCAUUGCGAAGCUGAUAACUGAAGCCCCGGUGAACGGCGGCCGUAACUAUAACGGUCCUAAGGUAGCGAAAUUCCUUGUCGGGUAAGUUCCGACCCGCACGAAAGGUGUAACGAUCUGGAUACUGUCUCAGAGAGAGACUCGGUGAAAUAAAACUAGCUGUGAAGAUGCGGCUUACCUGCACACGGACAGAAAGACCCUAUGAAGCUUUACUGUAACCUGGAAUUGCUUUCAAGCUUAUUUUGCGCAGCUUAGGUGGGAGGCUACGAACCUUUUCUUCCGGGAAGAGGGGAGCCAUCAGUGAGAUACCACUCUUGGUAAGCUAGAAAGCUCAGUCUUAACCGUUAUCCGGUAAGACGACAGUUUCAGGCGGGCAGUUUGACUGGGGCAGUCACCUCCCAAAAGGUAAUGGAGGUGCACAAAGGUUCCCUCAGGUUGGACGGAAAUCAACCAUAGAGUGUAAAAGCAUAAGGGAGCUUGACUGCGAGACUGACAUGUCAAGCAGAGACGAAAGUCGGUUUUAGUGAUCCGACGGUGCUGCGUGGAAAGGCCGUCGCUCAACGGAUAAAAGUUACUCUAGGGAUAACAGGCUAAUCUCCCCCAAGAGUUCACAUCGACGGGGAGGUUUGGCACCUCGAUGUCGGCUCAUCGCAUCCUGGAGCGGAAGUACGUUCCAAGGGUUGGGCUGUUCGCCCAUAGAAAGCGGUACGCGAGCUGGGUUCAGAACGUCGUGAGACAGUUUGGUCCAUAUCCUGUGUAGGCGUUUAGAGCAUUGAAAGGAUCUCCCCUUUGUACGAGAGGACCAGGUGGGGACAGACCUCUAGUGUACCAGUUAUUCCGCCAGGGGUAAACGCUGGGUAGCUAUGUCUGGAGUAAAUAACUGCUGAAAGCAUAUAAGUAGGAAGUUCACCUUAAGAUGAGUGCUCUUUUGUCUCAAACGAUCAACCUUCUAUGAAGGAUUGGCAAAUGAAAGACAAGGAAGGUCACGGCAAGACGAGCCGUUUGAUAGGCAUGAAGUAGAAGUGCAGUAAUGCAUUCUGAAGCUGACAUGUGCUAAUAGACCGAGGGAUUUGAUUUU